rnacentral:rRNA from 1 species
UACGGGGGGGGCAAGCGUUGUUCGGAAUUACUGGGCGUAAAGGGCUCGUAGGUGGCCAACUAAGUCGGACGUGAAAUCCCUCGGCUUAACCGGGGAACUGCGUCCGAUACUGGAUGGCUUGAGUUUGGGAGAGGGAUGCGGAAUUCCAGGUGUAGCGGUGAAAUGCGUAGAUAUCAGGAGGAACGCCGGUGGUGUAGACGGCUCUCUGGACCGUAACUGACGCUGAGACACGAAAGCGUGGGUAGCAAACAGG